rnacentral:lncRNA from 1 species
GAUAAAGGUUUUCCGUAUGGGAAACAGUUUUCAAAAAGAUUUUACAACUUUUCGUGAUUUUAGUAUUUCAAAAAAAGUUUUCAGGUGAAAAAUAUUUUUAAAUAAUAGAAGUAAAUGUAUGAAUGUAAUUGUGAAUGUGUGUUGUGAAUAGACGUGGCUGUAACUUGUAUGAUGUGUGACGCCGUGUAAAUACAGGGGAAACGCUGUCUGUGUAGAUAGAGAAUUCUCUAUAUUUGUGUUGGGUCUGUCAU